AUACGCGACACGCGACAGCGCAUCGCAUGCUCGAAUCGAGCCGAGCAGCCAAGGUCCUAACAACCUCACCGCCCUCGGUCACUCGAUCACUAGCGAGGCAACACCAUCUACCAAGCCAGAUGUAGCCUCUUCUCCUCUCACAGAAGUAGAGAGAGAGAGGAUGCGCUGGUGGAGAACGACGACAUGCAACGCCACUUCCUCCGUUGCACCCGUGCUGAUGUGUGAUGUGUAGCGUCCCCGUUCAAACUAUGCACCCCUCACCGUACUCUUCUUCUAUUCUCACCUAUGCACGCUCUCUGUCUCCUCGAUGCUCCGUUGCUCCACGAGCUUAUACACGCGUGCGAUGAUGCAUCUGUGCAGUGCGUUGUCGCCAUCUCCUCCCCGUGCCCUGGGGGAAGCCCUGAAGUCGCUCCGAUGCAUGGAGUGAAGCUAUUCUCUCACGAUCCUGUGAGCGUGCCGUCUGCUUCCGUGGAACGUAUCUCGCCCAUAGCGCUGUAAGGCAUGCUGGCAUCGGGACUUCAUGGAUGACGAUCUGUGAUUCUCAUCGUUGUUGAUUCUUUUUACCUUCCUUCGUACUCGCCAUAGCGCAUGCGCGCUCUCUUACAGCUUGCACAUCUGCUCGGACGCGGGCCUUUCAUCGCUGGUCGUUGCGGUCACCGUGUAGGCACGAAGCCGCAACCAUUUUCUUCAAGAUUUUUUUUAUGUUGCGCUGAACUCAUCUCCGCUCAUGUGACAACGUGUCCAUGCUCCCCCCCCACCUCUCCCCUCCCCUCCCCUCCUCCGGUUUACUCCGUGAGACCGGCAAUGCUUUUUGCGCGCUGGCUUUCGUGUUUGUGGUGCAUCCUCUUCCCUUCACGCUCCCCCUGGGAGCGCGCGCGUGGUGUGGAGGCCGACUGUGCGCACUUUUCUCGCAUUCCCUCG
rnacentral:misc_RNA from 1 species